UGGCCGGGACUUGGCGACGGAGGUUCGAGGGAGGCUCGGUCGUGGUUUUGCGUCUGCUGAACAGUACCCCUUACCGCUGUGUUGGACCCCACAUUCUCCCAGAAGACCCUGCGGACCUUUCCGUCAAGGGCCCAGAGUAAUGGUGCAGGGAAAAUGGAGAGCAAAACCAAACGUGACUCACCUUGCACAGAGGGAGGCCAAGUGAACCCACAUGCCUUCCUUCCCCUCCCGUGCCACCUGGUGAAGGUGGAUGUUCUUACAUGAUGACUGCCUCUUCCAGGGCCUGAGGUUCAGAGGUGCCCUCAAGCCUAAAGAUAUCCUCCUACCCACGAGUCAGCAAAGAAGAGGUCCCUAGUGCAAUUUCCAUUCUUCUGUGCAUCUCUACCCUGGAGGGAGGGCCUGGGC